GGGGCAUGAGGUAUCUGAGAAAUAGUUUUUCACCGAACAUCGGAGAGGAGGAAAGAAUAGUGGGCGUGAGGUCUUAGCUGUGGGUUUAGAUCUUUGCAUUAGGAUUUUGGGAGAGAGGAAAACCAAAGAGAGAAAGUUGUUCUCCCUCUAUCUUCUACUUUCUAUCUCACUUCCUCCUACAUCAGCCAUUAAGAGGUUUCUGCAAGGAGCUAGCACUUCGAAGAGGCUAAUCAGAUUAGAGUUUUGUGUGGAUACCUGUGG
rnacentral:lncRNA from 1 species